CCUACGGGAGGCAGCAGUGAGGAAUAUUGGUCAAUGGACGCAAGUCUGAACCAGCCAUGCCGCGUGCAGGAAGACGGCUCUAUGAGUUGUAAACUGCUUUUGUACGAGGGUAAACUCAGAUACGCGUAUCUUUCUGAACGUAUCGUACGAAUAAGGAUCGGCUAACCCCGUGCUAGGAGCCGCGGUAAUACGGAGGAUUCAAGCGUUAACCUGAUUGAUUGGGUUUAAAGGGUGCAUAGGCGGUCGGAUAAGUUAGAGGUGAAAUCCCGAGGCUCAACUUCGGGAUUGCCUCUGAUACUAUUAGGCUAGAGAGUAGUUGCGGUAGGCGGAAUGUAAGGUGUAGCGGUGAAAUGCUUAGAGAUCAGACAGAACACCGAUUGCGAAGGCAGCUUACCAAGCUACGUCUGACGUUGAGGGACGAAAGCGUGGGGAGCAAACAGGAUUAGAUACCCGAGUAGUC
rnacentral:rRNA from 1 species